rnacentral:rRNA from 1 species
AUACGUAGGUCCCAAGCGUUGCGCGAUCUCACUGGGCGUAAAGCGUCCCCAGCCGGUCCGGUAAGCGGAUUGUCAAAACCCGCGGCUCAACCGCGGUAGGGCAACCCGAACUGCCGGACUUGAGGCAAGCCCAGGCAGGCGGAAUUCCCGGUGUAGCGGUGAAAUGCGUAGAUAUCAGGAGGAACACCAAAGGGGAAGCCAACCUGCUGGGGCUGCCCUGACGGUCACGGACGAAAGCUGGGGGAGCAAACCGGAUUAGAAACCCUAGUAGUCC